AGAGUUUGAUCCUGGCUCAGGACGAACGCUGGCGGCGUGCUUAACACAUGCAAGUCUACGAGAAAGAAGUAGCAAUAUCUCAAGUAAAGUGGCGCAAGGGUGAGUAAUAUGUAAGUAAUCUACCUAUGGGUUCGGAAUAACGUCGAGAAGUCGGCGCUAAUACCGAAUAAUGCAGCGGCAUCGCAUGAUGAUGUUGUUAAAGUUGUCCCGACUUGUCGGGAUAACUCCUAUAGAUGAGCUUGCAUCUGAUUAGCUAGUUGGUAGGGUAAUUGCCUACCAAGGCUACGAUCAGUAGCUGGUCUGAGAGGAUGAUCAGCCACACUGGAACUGAGACACGGUCCAGACUCCUACGGGAGGCAGCAGUGAGGAAUAUUGGGCAAUGGACGGAAGUCUGACCCAGCAACGCCGCGUGGAGGAUGAAUGCCGUAAGGUUGUAAACUCCUUUUGAAGGGGACGAA
rnacentral:rRNA from 1 species